rnacentral:rRNA from 1 species
UGGCGGACGGGUGAGUAACGCGUGGGGGAACCUGCCCUGCACCGGGGGAUAACACCUGGAAACAGGUGCUAAUACCGCAUAAGCGCACGAGGCCGCAUGGCCAGGUGUGAAAAACUAAGGUGGUGCAGGAUGGACCCGCGUCUGAUUAGCUUGUUGGUAGGGCAACGGCCUACCAAGGCGACGAUCAGUAGCCGGCCUGAGAGGGUGAACGGCCACAUUGGGACUGAGACACGGCCCAAACUCCUACGGGAGGCAGCAG